rnacentral:ncRNA from 1 species
CGGAUAGAGGCCGCGGCUUCCAUCAGUAUCUGCGUCAUAGGUCGGCCGGACCGCAUGAGGACGCUUUGAAAGGGGAAUCCGCCGAAGGUAUCAAUGGCGGCGCCGGAUACCUGAUCCUGCAUGCGAACAGCUGCCGGAUUGUCAUCAUACAUAUGAUGGAGAGCUAUCGG